rnacentral:rRNA from 1 species
UACGUAGGGUCCGAGCGUUGUCCGGAAUUAUUGGGCGUAAAGGGCUCGUAGGCGGUCCGUCACGUCGGGAGUGAAAACUCAGGGCUCAACCCUGAGCGUGCUUCCGAUACGGGCGGACUAGAGGUAUGCAGGGGAGAACGGAAUUCCUGGUGUAGCGGUGGAAUGCGCAGAUAUCAGGAGGAACACCGGUGGCGAAGGCAGCCAUCUGGACCGACACUGACGCUGAGGUGCGAAAGCGUGGGGAGCAAACAGG